rnacentral:lncRNA from 1 species
CCGGCCAACCUCGCCGCACCAAAAGCUUCUCUGGCUCCAGGGCCGAUAGCGGCACGCGGUCAUGUUUGCGGCAAGUGGCACAGUUUCUGCCCUCUCAGGCAGACCACGCCCUGCUGCUGCCCACGCUCCUUACUGCCGCCCGCCCUUACCCGAACGACUUACCUGAGCCAGUACCUCCUCGUUCGCUCCCGGUACCCGAGGAUCCCGCACACGGCCAUCUUGGCCACGCCCCCUCACGUUUAGCCACGUCCCUACGCAACAAACGCCAUUUCGUCAUUCCAGGUUACGCCCCUAUCAGUCCCCACUCUGUCCCCGACCCAGGCUCAAAUCUCGCCCUGGCCACGCUUCCCCAGCGCCGGAGUCCACACCUGCUCUGCGCUCUGGCUACACAUCUCCUGUCGCUGCCACGCGCCUGCACGCUAACUUGCCGACGCCUCUGCCCUCCGCCUGCUCCACCAUCUUUGUUACGCCCCUCAGAGCAACAAGGCACGCCCACAGGUGCAGAAAAUGCUUUUAAAGUGAGACUUAGUAUCAGAACAGCUCUGGGAGAUAAAGCAUAUGCCUGGGAUACCAAUGAAGAAUACCUCUUCAAGCGAUGGUAGCUUUCUCCAUGAGAAAAGUUCCCAACAGAGAAGCAACAGAAAUUUCCCAUGUCCUACUUUGCAAUGUAACCCAGAGGGUAUCAUUCUGGUUUGUGGUUACAGACCCUUCAAAAAAUCACACCCUUCCUGCUGUUGAGGUGCAAUCAGCCAUAAGGU